AAAUUGAAGAGUUUGAUCAUGGCUCAGAUUGAACGCUGGCGGCAGGCCUAACACAUGCAAGUCGAACGGUAACAGAAAGAAGCUUGCUUCUUUGCUGACGAGUGGCGGACGGGUGAGUAAUGUCUGGGAAACUGCCUGAUGGAGGGGGAUAACUACUGGAAACGGUAGCUAAUACCGCAUAACGUCGCAAGACCAAAGAGGGGGACCUUCGGGCCUCUUGCCAUCGGAUGUGCCCAGAUGGGAUUAGCUUGUUGGUGGGGUAACGGCUCACCAAGGCGACGAUCCCUAGCUGGUCUGAGAGGAUGACCAGCCACACUGGAACUGAGACACGGUCCAGACUCCUACGGGAGGCAGCAGUGGGGAAUAUUGCACAAUGGGCGCAAGCCUGAUGCAGCCAUGCCGCGUGUAUGAAGAAGGCCUUCGGGUUGUAAAGUACUUUCAGC
rnacentral:rRNA from 1 species